GAUGAAGAACGUAGCGAAAUGCGAUACGUAAUGUGAAUUGCAGAAUUCAGUGAAUCAUCGAAUCUUUGAACGCACAUUGCGCCUGCCAGCACUCUGGCAGGCAUGCCUGUUUGAGCGUCAUUUCAACCAUCAAGCCCUAGGCUUGCGUUGGAGCCCUGCGGCUGCCGCAGGCCCCUAAAAGCAGUGGCGGGCUCGCUAUCACACCGAGUGCAGUAGAUUACUCUUCGCUCAGGGCGUGUGGCGGGUUCCAGCCGUGAAACCCCCUACUUCUCAAGGUUGACCUCGGAUCAGGUAGGAAUACCCGCUGAACUUAAGCAUAUCAAUAAGCGGAGGA
rnacentral:misc_RNA from 1 species